rnacentral:rRNA from 1 species
GGGCCCGCACAAGCGGCGGAGCAUGCGGAUUAAUUCGAUGCAACGCGAAGAACCUUACCAAGGCUUGACAUAUAGAGGAAAAGUGCAGAAAUGCACUCCCCGCAAGGUCUCUAUACAGGUGGUGCAUGGUUGUCGUCAGCUCGUGUCGUGAGAUGUUGGGUUAAGUCCCGCAACGAGCGCAACCCUCGUCCUAUGUUGCCAGCACGUAAUGGUGGGAACUCAUGGGAUACUGCCGGGGUCAACUCGGAGGAAGGUGGGGAUGACGUCAAAUCAUCAUGCCCCUUAUGUCUUGGGCUUCACGCAUGCUACAAUGGCCGGUACAGAGGGCUGCAAUACCGCAAGGUGGAGCGAAUCCCAAAAAGCCGGUCUCAGUUCGGAUUGAGGUCUGCAACUCGACCUCAUGAAGUCGGAGUCGCUAGUAA